UUUCAAAUGUCUGCCCUAUCAAUUUUCGAUGGUAGGUGACCUGCCUACCAUGGUGAUAACGGGUAACGGGGAAUCAGGGUUCGAUUCCGGAGAGGGAGCCUGAGAAACGGCUACCACUUCCAAGGAAGGCAGCAGGCACGCAAAUUACCCAAUCCCGGCACGGGGAGGUAGUGACGAAAAAUACGGAUACGGGACUCAAUAGAGGCUCCGUAAUUCGAAUGAGUACAAUUUAAAUCCUUUAACGAGGAUCAACUGGAGGGCAAGUCUGGUGCCAGCAGCCGCGGUAACUCCAGCUCCAGAAGCGUAUAUUAAAGUUGUUGCAGUUAAAAAGCUCGUAGUUGGAUCUGGGUCGUAUGGCUACAUGCCGUU
rnacentral:rRNA from 1 species